CAGGGAUUGCCUCAGUAACGGCGAGUGAAGCGGCAACAGCUCAAAUUUGAAAUCUGGCCCUAGGCCCGAGUUGUAAUUUGCAGAGGAUGCUUUUGGUGCGGUGCCUUCCAAGUUCCCUAGAACGGGACGCCAGAGAGGGUGAGAGCCCCGUACAGUUGGACACCAAGCCUUUGUAAAGCUCCUUCGACGAGUCGAGUAGUUUGGGAAUGCUGCUCAAAAUGGGAGGUAUAUUUCUUCUAAAGCUAAAUACCGGCCAGAGACCGAUAGCGCACAAGUAGAGUGAUCGAAAGAUGAAAAGCACUUUGAAAAGAGGGUUAAACAGCACGUGAAAUUGUUAAAAGGGAAGCGCUUGUGACCAGACUUGCGUCCGGUGAAUCACCCAGCUCUCGCGGCUGGGGCACUUCGCCGGCUCAGGCCAGCAUCAGCUCGCUGUCGGGGACAAAAGCUUCAGGAACGUAGCUCUCUUCGGGGAGUGUUAUAGCCUGUUGCAUAAUACCCUUCGGCGGGCUGAGGUACGCGCUCCGCAAGGAUGCUGGCAUAAUGGUCAUCAGCGACCCGUCUUGAAACACGGACCAAGGAGUCAACCUUAUGUGCGAGUGUUCGGGUGUCAAACCCCUACGCGUAAUGAAAGUGAACGCAGGUGAGAGCUUCGGCGCAUCAUCGACCGAUCCUGAUGUUCUCGGAUGGAUUUGAGUAAGAGCAUAUAGGGUUGGACCCGAAAGAAGGUGAACUAUGCGUGUAUAGGGUGAAGCCAGAGGAAACUCUGGUGGAGGCUCGCAGCGGUUCUGACGUGCAAAUCGAUCGUCAAAUAUGCGCAUGGGGGCGAAAGACUAAUCGA
rnacentral:rRNA from 1 species